UAAUUUUUGUGAAAAGUCGAUUCGGAGUCGUGGUGGCCAGUAGAAUCCCACAUUUCAACUAAAAUCCAUGACUCAUUCGGAUUAACCUCAAUAGGUUAAUCCAAGAUCGAGUCACGGUUUCUAGGGUUGCUAUAAAAAACAUAGAUUCACUCUGAAUCAAAAUUUUCGGAGUCGUGCGAUUCUUACGGUGAAGGUCGAUCGGAUUUUACCUGAAACAGAGAGACGGAGAUGCUCGCAGUUGAGAAGAAUUUGAAAAUUGAGUUGAUUGAAGGUUGUAAACUUUAUAUCUAGGGUUUACCCUCUUUCCAAAUCAGACGCUCGAAUCCGAGAAAGCAGUCGGGAACUGCGAAUGCGAAGAGAGAGAGAGACCUACAGUUUCUUUUGCUCUCUGUGUUUUCCAUUUUUUCCUCUCUGGUAAAUGUUGAUACAUUUGGUGAAGACCAUCGAGAUCACUUCUUUACUGAGCUCAGAAUUCUGAUUGAUAAAAGGAGUAGCGAUCAUGGCACUCUUGAGGUCAACCAAAAGGGCUAUAGUUGAUGAUCCCAUCACUAUUUGAUCAAGGUG